UCUCCUUUAUGUCCCUGAAGUGCUAUGUUCUAAAUCCAAUAGUGUCCAAGCUGAGGCCAGGCUUCCCGCAGGUGCUCCCAGCGAUGACAGAGCAAAGCAGGGAUUCUAAAGCAGUCCAGGUUCUGAGAUGCCAGGGGCUCCUCUAGUGGGUACUCUCUUUCCCUUGAGGACUCCCAUCAGCCUUGCCCAGACUAUCUUAUAACUGCAUUACAGUCUAAGGCUCAUUCUGUUCCAGUUUCCUUCCUUCCUUUCUUCCUUCUUUCCUUCCUUCCUUCCUCCCUUCCUCCCUCCCUCCUUUCUUUCCUGCCUUCCUUUCUCCCUCCCUCCCUCUCUCUCUCCCUUCCCCUUCCCCUUCGCCUUUUCCUUCCUUCCUUCCUUCCUUCCUUCCUUCCUUCCUUCCUUCCUUCCUUCCUUCCUUCCUUCCUUCCUUCCCUUUCUCCUCCACAAGAGUCAACUCUGCCCCUCCACGUGAUGACUUUCCUGGACUUUUUCAACACUCUUCCAUUAGCCUCUCACAGGUGUUCUCCCUCAAUAAAUCCCUUGUAUAUUUAAUCCCACCUGCAAUGUCACUGGGCUUUUGAAAACCAAGUGAGAAGACAAGUGUCUGUUGAUAGAAACCCUUCGGUAAAUGUUAACAUGUGAAAGCAGCACGUUUUCUGAGCUGAUAAUUUGGACAUAAAUUCAUACCCAUGAUCUGACAGUGGAAUGGGCUAUUUGAGCUUGGGUUUCUUUUGGAAAUAGAGGGGUCUUGAUGUAUUUUGCUUUCAGCGUGUAGAAAGAGAAGACAGGAUUGUAUCUGGGAGGAUUUUAUUCCAUUGGCUAGAGCUCAAUCGAUCAAAACAGAGAAUUUUCCAGAAUUGAAGAAAGACAUGAAUCUUCAAGUUGAAAAUGUUAUUUUGAAUUCUGAAUCCUCUGUAAUACAAAUGAAA